GAAAUGUUAAUUCUUACAAUAUUAACACAUGCUGCUCACUGAUUGUGGUAUAUCCCCAACAGCGUCUUCAAUAAGACAAGCUGAUGAACCGAAUGUAAAUAGAUUAUCGACUUCACAUACUACACAUGAAAUCAUCAGACGAUGAAAGCUCCUUAUACUCUACUUCAACAUAUGAAGAACAGCGUCUCCAGUAAGACAAGCUGAUGAACCGAAUGUAAAUAAAUCAUCGACUUCACAGGCUACACAUGAUAAUCAUCAGACGAUGAAAGCUCAAUAUACUCUACUUCAGCAUACGAAGAACAGGAAGUUUGCUGCCCUACAACACUCGGCCACCGGAGGAGCAGGGCUGUUAGUAGGAAUUCUGUACAUCACAGGUUUCAUGUAGUGUGUCCCACGUGCACUGCACUUCCAGUUUAUACACACUUUAUUUACAUUUUUACUGAAUCGUGGGACUUGUCUGUCUUUGUCUACUUGUUUGUGUACAAAAUGAGUAAGGCUAAUGCAAAAUCAAAAAAGCAGCUUAGCUGCAAUGUCUGUGAGAGUGUGUUACCUGAUGGAACUACCACAUGCACAGUAUGUCUUGCAAAUACGGUUCCAAAUACAAACCCUUACCCUGAUCCUCCAUGGGCAAUUCUGGCGGAUGUAAUGACUGGUUUACAAUCGGAGUUGGACGCUGCACGAAAGGAGCGUGAGGCUGCUAGAUCUGAGGCUAGGGUAAUACAUCCUGAGAUUCCAGUAGGGGCUCAGGAGAUGUCUAGGACUUUGCAAGGGUUACAAAAGUCCAAGUCUAGCUCAAUUCUGAAAAAUAGUUAUCAUUUGUCUUAAAACUUACCAGUUUCAGCUGUGUUGCAUUCUGACGAUUAAAUGCCAGACCUCAUAUCGCAAGAAGAACAUGAGGAGGGUGAGUUGGGCCAGGAGUCAGAUAGUGAGGUUACUGAUAGCCCGGUCACUGAUAAUCUCAUCAGGGCAGUACGUCAGGUUCUAGAUUUUACAGAGACUGAAGAACCUAUUUCAAAUGAUGAAGUGUUAUUUGCUAAACAACAGAACACCGGUAUGUUUUCCUUAUUCAGAUUCUCUUAAGCAGUUAACAGAGGCAUGGAAGAAUCCGGAUAAACGGUUUUCUAUACCUCGCCGGUUUCUGUCUAGUUACCCGUUCCCAGAGUGGGGGCGGGUGAGGGAUAUGGAGACACACACAUAGU